CUAACAAGGAUUCCCCUAGUAACGCGAAGUGAAGCGGGAUGAGCUCAAAUUUGUAAUCUGGCGGUCUCCGGCCGUCCGAGUUGUAGUCUGGAGAAGCGUCUUCCGUGCCGGACCGUGUACAAGUCCCUUGGAACAGGGCGUCGUAAGGGUGAGAAUCCCGUCUCUGACACGGACUACCGGUGCUCUGUGAUGCGCUCUCGAAGAGUCGAGUUGUUUGGGAAUGCAGCUCAAAAUGGGUGGUAAAUUCCAUCUAAAGCUAAAUAUUGGCGAAAGACCGAUAGCGAACAAGUACCGUGAGGGAAAGAUGAAAAGCACUUUGGAAAGAGAGUUAAACAGUACGUGAAAUUGUUGAAAGGGAAACGCUUGAAGUCAGUCGCGUCUUCCGAGACUCAGCCGGGUUCUUACCCGGUGCACUUCUCGGUGUCGACGGGCCAGCAUCGAUUUCGACCGUCGGAGAAAGGCUCUGGGAAUGUGGCACCUUCGGGUGUGUUAUAGCCCUCUGUCGUAUGCGACGGUCGGGAUCGAGGACCGCAGCGUGCCCUUCAUCGGGCCGGGGUUCGCCCACGUAACGCGCUUAGGAUGCUGGCGUAAUGGCUUUAAGCGACCCGUCUU
rnacentral:rRNA from 1 species